UUGGCUGCAGGCUGCAGACUGCAGAGAGAAGGUGGGGUUGAGGGAUUGUAUCUCUCCCUCUCUGUCAUUUCUCUCUUCCUCCAUAUAUGACAUCUCCAUUACAUUUCUCUUCAGGUUCUCUCUCUCUCUCUCUCUCUGAAAUAUCACAUGAGAGAAGGUGGUUUGGAGGAUAAUACGAUUGUUGCUGUAAUAACAAUGGGGAAUUUGGCGUGGGACGGCUUGAUGAUUUUACUUGGCUUCCUUCAGGGGACAAGCCGAGAAGGAGUUUCAGCGUGUUCACAAUUGAAAUAUGCAUCAAGUUGAUUGAAAUAACUUAACUACCUUACUUCGUCUAAAUGGGGAAUAUUUCAUUUCCUUUUGUUUGUGUUUGUAGUGAUGUAAUUCAGGUUCUGUUUAUUGUGAUUUUAAAUCAAAUGCCUUACUUUGUCUAGA